AGCAAGGAAGAUUAAGGAAGAACAGAUGAGGAGAUUAUACAAGAGACAUUGUUGUGACAUCAAUCCACAUUGAAUCUGAUUAAAGUCAAUCACCGACUUACGAGACCUCAUCAUUGUGACAUCAUUCCACAUUGUCUCCAGUUUGGGGCAAUCACUCAAUUACAGUAAGUGUUGUUGUUGUUUUUGUUAUAAAUAUAUAACUAAACUUUACUUGUUUAAUUACUUUGUAAAAGUGUUAAUGUUAAGAGUCUGUGUGUGUACCUCAAUGAGGACAUGACAACAGUCAUCAAAGAAUUCCAGGUUUGUAUAAGUAUGCCCUUUUUUUAAGGACCUAACAUA